rnacentral:lncRNA from 1 species
AUUGAGUUACCUAAAAUUAAAUUUGGAGGAAGCAUUUAGAAAUGGUUUAUCUAUAAAAUAAAUUAUCUCAAAAUUCUUGGAAAAACUUCCAAAAUAAUAAUUUGACUAUCAAAAUUCUUAUAUUUAUAAAUUAUUGUUGAAAAUCUAAACAACUACAAUUUAAAAAUAUAAGGUUCUUCUUCUAGAUAUUUGACUAUUAUUCUUGGUAAAUUGUAGGAAAUUUUAUCACGAGGUAAAACAUCUAAAAAAA